rnacentral:lncRNA from 1 species
CAUUACAGAAACAGAGAACGGCUGAUCAGAAGCAUAACUCAAGAUCCAAAACUUGGUAUAUGUGCACAUGUGAUAAACAUGCCAAAUUAAAAGAGCUCAUGAUGGAACACUGGUACCGCUGUCGGCCAAACGCCCUUCACAUGAUAAUUUCGUCACGUGCUGGUUUUUGUGCGAAUCAUGGAAGAUAAUUGACGCGCUUCGACUCGGCCUCC